rnacentral:rRNA from 1 species
UACGAAGGGGGCUAACGUUGCUCGGAAUUACUGGGCGUAAAGCGCACGUAGGCGGAUCGUUAAGUCGGGGGUGAAAUCCUGGAGCUCAACUCCAGAACUGCCUUCGAUACUGGCGAUCUCGAGUUCGGGAGAGGUGAGUGGAACUGCGAGUGUAGAGGUGAAAUUCGUAGAUAUUCGCAAGAACACCGGUGGCGAAGGCGGGUCACUGGGCCGAUACUGACGCUGAGGAGCGAAAGCGUGGGGAGCGAACAGG